GAUGAACGCUGGCGGCGUGCUCAACACAUGCAAGUCGAACGAAGCACUUUAUUUGAUUUCCUUCGGGACUGAUUAUUUUGUGACUGAGUGGCGGACGGGUGAGUAACGCGUGGGUAACCUGCCUUGUACAGGGGGAUAACAGUUGGAAACGGCUACUAAUACCGCAUAAGCGCACGGCAUCGCAUGAUGCAGUGUGAAAAACUCCGGUGGUAUAAGAUGGACCCGCGUUGGAUUAGCUAGUUGGUGAGGUAACGGCCCACCAAGGCGACGAUCCAUAGCCGACCUGAGAGGGUGACCGGCCACAUUGGGACUGAGACACGGCCCAAACUCCUACGGGAGGCAGCAGUGGAGAAUAUUGCACAAUGGGCGAAAGCCUGAUGCAGCGACGCCGCGUGAGCGAAGAAGUAUUUCGGUAUGUAAAGCUCUAUCAGCAGGGAAGAUAAUGACGGUACCUGACUAAGAAGCACCGGCUAAAUACGUG
rnacentral:rRNA from 1 species